UUGAAACACAAGUUCUCGUAGGAUCACCACAGUUAAGCAACGUCGAGUCUGGUUAGUACUUAGAUGGGUGACCGCUUGGGAAUACCAGGGGCUGUAA